UUAAUUGAAACCAAAAAGAGGUUCAUCAUUGUUAAUGAUGCUAUUGAUAAAGAUCCAAUUAAA
rnacentral:tRNA from 1 species